GACGAACGCUGGCGGCGUGCUUAACACAUGCCAGUCGAAUGGAAAGGCCCUGCUUGCAGGGUACUCGAGUGGCGAACGGGUGAGUAACACGUGGGUGAUCUGCCCUGCACUUCGGGAUAAGCCUGGGAAACUGGGUCUAAUACCGGCUAGGAGCCAUUUUUAGUGUGAUGGUUGGAAAGUUUUUUCGGUGUAGGAUGAGCUCGCGGCCUAUCAGCUUGUUGGUGGGGUAAUGGCCUACCAAGGCGGCGACGGGGAGCCGGCCUGAGGGGGUGGACGGCCACAUUGGGACUGAGCGGCGGGCCAGACUCCUACGGGAGGCAGAAGUGGGGAAUAUUGCACAAUGGGAGGCAGCCUGAUGCAGCGACGCCGCGUGGGGGAUGACGGCCGUCGGGUUGUAAACUCCUUUCGCCAGGGACGAAGCUUUUUGUGACGGUACCUAGAUAAGAAGCACCGGCUAACUACGUG
rnacentral:rRNA from 1 species